rnacentral:lncRNA from 1 species
AUUGGCUACAAGCAUACAAAUGAAGCUGGAGAACAAAGUCACCUGAGCUCUCUUACAAGGGUGAGAUGCAAACACACAAGGCUCAGAAGUGGCCUCACUGUCUCCUUUUCUCUUUCUCUGUUGCCCCUAGGCAAAAGGAGGAAAAUCUUCCAGCAAUACCUGCAGCUCGGGGCCAGCCCAGGUUUUACAGCCUGGUGUGCCAGCAUGGAACAAAAGGUUUUCAAAGAAACCUUUUGUCACCCUUGGAAGAAGAGGAGGCUUUAUAGGGCAGAUUUCGAAAACAAACAAGCAACCCAGAAAGUAAAUUUGAAAGAUGCUCACACUCCUCUGCUUAAGCCUGAGGUGAACUGAAGGAG